UGAAAUUAGCUGUACAAAAUUGGUGUUUUAAAGCUAUUGAGCAAGAAACAAAAUUAACAUCAACAGCAGGUGGCAGUGCUAGCAAGAGCAGUGGUUCUGAUGUGAGUUGUCGGCUGGUGGUUUGUGUAGUUUCAGCUCUUCCGCAAAAGCAGUAGAGAGUGCCAGGAUCCUGUGUGCAAAGAGGACAAGACCAGCUCCCACUGAUGACUGACCCCUGGAACACCCCUCAAGCAUUGUUGUGAGGUUCAAGUAGAAGCUUGCUGUAUGUUGGUGAAGUUCACCCACUGUGCUUCUUAGAAGAGAAAAUUAGUGAAAUUGGUAAAAAAAAAUCAAAGAAGAAAACCUGUAAAGUUCCCAUGCUGUGACUGUGACACACUCCUUACACCUCACCUCCUAAUUCUCUGACACAGAGAUUGACUGGAACACAUUCCCAGCACAGCUCUACAAUAUGUCUCUGGCUUUCAACUCUCUCUGAAGAGAAUGUACCAGGUUACUGCACUGGCAGCCAGGUCUGUAUGUCUUAGAGAGAAAUCCAGGCUCAGAGAAGGUUGACUGAAGGUAUGUUUGCAAGGCACCAGGCUGGCAGGAUAGUUGUAUCCAUCAGUUGCCCUGUCUAACCUGAAGGCAUACCCAUCAUAUGAGUACACAUAUAUACACAUAUGUCUUGUGGCUGUGAAAAACCACAUGCCUUUCCUGCAGCUUUGCAGAUUGCAUUCUUGUACAUCAGUAUUCAGGUAAGUUGGAAAGCUUUCGCAAGCGGGAAGUGGAACUCAAAAGAGAGUAAGUCAAUCUCUUGAAAAGGGCUUUAAAGCAUACUUUGUUUUUUAGGAGUUUUUUAUUCUUUGGAACAAAAAGUGUGCUGAAUUGUUGUCAGGCAUAUAUGGGUAUAAUUUGUGAGUACAAAGAAAUGCAAGCAAGUUUGUUGACUUAUUGCUGUAGUGAGACAAGUAAUAAUUUUAAUUAGAUUGUAAUGAAAAUUGUUGUGUCAUGUUCCCCCCCCUCCCCUAGCGAAUUCAUUAUCUGAUUAGUCAAAAGGGAUAAAUAAUUCCUUUACAUUUGCAUUCCUUUUUGUCAAGCAGUAUGGAUUUUUCCUUCAUAUAUACAGAGAAAUGAAACUGGCUAAUAAUGAAAUCAUUGAGCAUCCUUAACUAUAAAAAGAACCUUUUAAAUCCAGAACUAGAGGAGGGUUCUGCACACAAAGCAUUCUGCACACAAAACAAUCUGAACUUCCUAUCAGAGUAACAGAAAUGGGGUGGUCCAAACACACCUCAUUGGUUCCUUCCCAUUUCUGAUGGCCUUGAAGCAGGCUUAUGCUCCUUGAUACUGGCUUUCCUAUGCUUAUUUUUGUCUAUAGAGGCCUUUUUCUAUCCAGGAGAAGGAAGUGGUGUGUAUUUGCUUCUAUAUAUACACCCAUUCCAUCUUGCAGGGUGGG